rnacentral:rRNA from 1 species
CCUACGGGAGGCAGCAGUGGGGAAUAUUGGGCAAUGGGCGCAAGCCUGACCCAGCAACGCCGCGUGAGGGAAGAAGGCUUUCGGGUUGUAAACUUCUUUUGUCAGGGACGAAGCAAGUGACGGUACCUUACGCAUAAGCCACGGCUAACUACGUGCCAGCAGCCGCGGUAAUACGUAGGUGGCAAGCGUUAUCCGGAUUUACUGGGUGUAAAGGGCGUGUAGGCGGGACUGCAAGUCAGAUGUGAAAACCACGGGCUCAACCUGUGGCCUGCAUUUGAAACUGGAGUUCUUGAGUACUGGAGAGGCAGACGGAAUUCGUAGUGUAGCGGUGAAAUGCGGAGAGAUUAGGAGGAACACCAGUGGCGAAGGCGGGUUGCUGGACAGUAACUGACGCUGAGGCGCGAAAGCGUGGGGAGCAAACAGGAUUAGAUACCCUGGUAGUC